rnacentral:rRNA from 1 species
UCUGCCAGUAGUCAUAUGCUUGUCUCAAAGAUUAAGCCAUGCAUGUCUCAGUACAAGCCAAAUUAAGGUGAAACCGCGAAAGGCUCAUUAUAUCAGUUAUGGUUCCUUAGAUCGUACCCACAUUUACUUGGAUAACUGUGGUAAUUCUAGAGCUAAUACAUGCAAACAGAGUUCCGACCAGAGAUGGAAGGAAUGCUUUUAUUAGAUCAAAACCAAUCGAUGUUGUCAUAUUUUUUGACAUUUAUUUGUUAAUUAAAUAUGUUGCAUCGUUCUAUUUGGUGACUCUGAAUAACUUUAAGCUGAUCGCACGGUCUCGUACCGGCGACGCAUCUUUCAAAUGUCUGCCUUAUCAACUGUCGAUGGUAGGUUCUGCGCCUACCAUGGUUGUAACGGGUAACGGGGAAUCAGGGUUCGAUUCCGGAGAGGGAGCCUGAGAAACGGCUACCACAUCCAAGGAAGGCAGCAGGCGCGCAAAUUACCCACUCCCGGCACGGGGAGGUAGUGACGAAAAAUAACGAUACGGGACUCAUCCGAGGCCCCGUAAUCGGAAUGAGUACACUUUAAAUCCUUUAACAAGGAUCCAUUAGAGGGCAAGUCUGGUGCCAGCAGCCGCGGUAAUUCCAGCUCUAAUAGCGUAUAUUAAAGUUGUUGCGGUUAAAAAGCUCGUAGUCGAAUCUGUGUCUUACACUGUCGGUUCACCGCUCGCGGUGUCCAACUGGCAUGUCAUGUAGGACGUCCUACCGGUGGGUGGUGUAAAUUAUUGUUAUUAUUUCUUUUACCUAACUGUAUAUUGUUUUUCUAUGCACCAUAGUUCAUCGCGGCGUACUAUUAACGGCAGCAUGGCUGUGUUGUUAGUUUUUCUGUAUGUGUGUAUGGCGCUCAAAUGUUUUAUAUGCUACUAUAUAAAUUUAAUAUCAGGGUAUCGGCUUUUCUAUUCAAAACAAAUAUAUUUUAGAUUGUUGUUACAUUUCAAUUUAUUUUGUUAUGUGCACAGUCUCUUUAUAUAUUUGAGAAAAGUGUCAGAUUCUGAUAUGUUUAUAUUUUGUACAUAUUUAUACAUGCUGUAUUACUACAUACAGGCUCAAAAGACUAAUUCAACAAACAGCAUGUUGUUUGUGCGUUUCCGUUGUAUGGCUUGGAUUCAAAUGUAUAUUAAUAACGUAUAUACAGUGAUCAUAGGUGGGAAUAAUAUACAUUCAAAUAAUUUACCGUAAGUGUUUAGCCGUGAAGAACGGCGACAGCCCCCAAUUGCAAUCCUGUCGCGGUGCUCUUAAUUGAGUGUCGAGGUGGGCCGGUACGUUUACUUUGAACAAAUUAGAGUGCUUAAGGCAGGCUAAAAUUUCGCCUGAAUAUUGUGUGCAUGGAAUAAUGGAAUAGGACCUCGGUUCUAUUUUGUUGGUUUUCGGAACUCCGAGGUAAUGAUUAAUACGGACAGAUGGGGGCAUUCGUAUUGCGACGUUAGAGGUGAAAUUCUUGGAUCGUCGCAAGACGGACAGAAGCGAAAGCAUUUGCCAAAAAUGUUUUGAUUGAUCAAGAACGAAAGUUAGAGGUUCGAAGGCGAUCAGAUACCGCCCUAGUUCUAACCAUAAACGAUGCCAGCUAGCGAUCCGCCGAAGUUCUUCCGAUGACUCGGCGGGCAGCUUCCGGGAAACCAAAGCUUUUGGGUUCCGGGGGAAGUAUGGUUGCAAAGCUGAAACUUAAAGGAAUUGACGGAAGGGCACCACCAGGAGUGGAGCCUGCGGCUUAAUUUGACUCAACACGGGAAACCUCACCAGGCCCGGACACCGGAAGGAUUGACAGAUUGAGAGCUCUUUCUUGAUUCGGUGGGUGGUGGUGCAUGGCCGUUCUUAGUUGGUGGAGCGAUUUGUCUGGUUAAUUCCGAUAACGAACGAGACUCUAGCCUGCUAAAUAGACGUACCUUACCGGCAUCUCAAGGCCCAUCGGCUGUAAUGUACCGUUACGCUUGUUGCUCACUUUUUAAUAUAAAUUUAUUCCAGAUGCGCAUUAUAUAUAGUCCACUUAUAUAUUAUACAUAUAUUUGUAUGGCAACAUGCUGUAUAUGCUAUGCUAUAUUUGUUGCGGCUGUAUGUGUGCGUGUUUGGGUAUUUUAUGUUUUGAGUUUGUUAACACGUGCGGUGUACAGUUUUUUGAUGUGGUUUUUACUGCCGGCGUACAUAUUAAUCUUCUUAGAGGGACAGGCGGCUUCUAGCCGCACGAGAUUGAGCAAUAACAGGUCUGUGAUGCCCUUAGAUGUUCUGGGCCGCACGCGCGCUACACUGAAGGAAUCAGCGUGUCCUCCCUGACCGAAAGGUCCGGGUAACCCGCUGAACCUCCUUCGUGCUAGGGAUUGGGGCUUGCAAUUGUUCCCCAUGAACGAGGAAUUCCCAGUAAGCGCGAGUCAUAAGCUCGCGUUGAUUACGUCCCUGCCCUUUGUACACACCGCCCGUCGCUACUACCGAUUGAAUGAUUUAGUGAGGCCUUCGGACUGGUACACGGCAAAGUGUCUAAUUGACAUUUACCGUAGUUGCCGGGAAGAUGGCCAAACUUGAUCAUUUAGAGGAAGUAAAAGUCGUACAGUUU